rfam:Schistosoma rodhaini strain Burundi genome assembly, scaffold: SROB_scaffold0000168
AUCCAUCUGACGAGUCCCAAAUAGGACGAAACGCGCAUCCUGGAU